GACGAACGCUGGCGGCGUGCCUAAUUCAUGCAAGUCGAACGAGUGGCGGACGGGUGAGUAACACGUGGGAACCUACCCCUCAGAGGGGGAUAACUACUGGAAACUGUAGCUAAUACCGCAUACCAUCAUCUGUGCCCCGAUGGGCUUAGCUUGUUGGUGGGGUAACGUCUCACAAAGGCGACGAUCCCUCACUGGUCUGAGCGGAGGACCAGCCACACUGGAACUGAGACACGGUCCAGAAUCCUACGGUAGGCAGCAGUGGAGAAUAGUGCACAAUGGGCGCAAGCCUGAUGCAGCCAUGCAGCGUGUAUGAAGAAGGCCUUCGGGUUGUAAAGUACUUUCAGCGGGGAGGCGUUACCCGCAGCAGAAGCACCGGCUAACUCCGUGCCAGCAGCCGCGGUAAUAC
rnacentral:rRNA from 1 species